AUGGAUGUGAUGCAUAUUUCCCCAGAUGAUCGAAGCUGAAAUUACUGAGCGCUUUUCAUGUAUUUUCUCCUUUUGGGGCGAGAACUCAAGCCAGAUAUUCUGAUCCAU
rfam:Capsicum annuum cultivar Zunla-1 chromosome 12, whole genome shotgun sequence